rnacentral:rRNA from 1 species
AAACUUUCAACAACGGAUCUCUUGGUUCUGGCAUCGAUGAAGAACGCAGCGAAAUGCGAUAUGUAAUGUGAAUUGCAGAAUUCAGUGAAUCAUCGAAUCUUUGAACGCACAUUGCGCCCGCUAGUAUUCUGGCGGGCAUGCCUGUCCGAGCGUCAUU